GUCCACUCUGUCCCUACUGUCCACUCUGGGAUUCCUCGCUACUGGGACAUUCCAGAGGGAAAUUAGUGACAGGUCGGGUAUAUCACAGCCAUCAUUCAUCCUGCCACAAGUGAUCGAGGCGAUUCUACACAUAUUGUCCACGAGAUACAUUAGAUACAUUAGUUUCCCAUUUACAGCCGACGAACAGGCGCGCGUCAAAGUCGAGUUUGUCCGCUCAUUUAAUUUCCCAUGGGUCAUCGUGACUGCACGCAUAUUGCCUUACACUCACCGUCUGUAGAUGUACAUGUGGACGUUAACAGGAAGAAUUUCCAUUCAUUGAAUGUUCAGAUCUGCGAUGCCCGUAUGCAACUACUCAAUGUGGCCAGGGUCUACCCACAACUCAAACGUUCAACAAUUGCAUUAUGAUUUAGGCGGUCAACACGCGAACAGAGGACAUGGACACAGAUGUGGAUGGACCCUCGAAACCUGUGGUCAAACAUUCCCCUUCACUCCUGGUACCUGCUGAUUUGGGAGCCUCACGCACUUUAUCACACCGAGCAGUAACUUCGGAAACGGUUAAAUUGGCUUGCGAAACCACCACGACUGGAUCACGAAACGCUGGAAGCUGCUUUGCAGCCUGUGCGCCCUCCACCCAGAGAUAAAGACCGAGGGUAAGUUGACUUUAUAUUCACACAUUCAGACAUCCAAAAGCCAUUUUAAAAAAGUACAAAUGAAUAACUAAUUCACAGUUUGUCACAAACUAGGUAUGAUAUAUUCCAUAAAAUGUCUAGCAUUAUUUGAUCACUUUCGUUUUGAUUCGAUAGAGGGCAUGUAGUCCGUCUAGAGGGCGUGUGGUCGAAGUUUUAACGAGUCUGUUGUACCCUACUAGAAGGGACCUGGCAGAAAAUUCUGCUUCUUCAGUCAUUAAAUUAGAUUACAGGAAAAAACUACGCGAUGAAGGGGUCAGGACUGACUAACAAGGAAAGCGGAUGGACAGGUGGAUGGAUCAAGAUAACCAAGAGGAUCAACAAGGACAUUCCACAGAAGCAGAGUGGAGAUAAGGAAAACUAAGAGUGAACCAUAACAUAGUAUUUACUGUGUUAUAUAUAUAUAUAUAUAUAU
ensembl:lncRNA